AGCGAACGCUGGCGGCAGGCCUAACACAUGCAAGUCGAAAGAACUCUUGGGAGUUAGUGGCGGACGGGUGAGUAACACGUGGGAACGGGCCUUUAGGUUCGGAAUAACUCAGGGAAACUUGUGCUAAUACCGAAUGUGCCCUUCGGGGGAAAGAUUUAUAGCCUUUAGAGCGGCCCUCGUCUGACUCGCUAGUUGGUGGGGUAAUGGCCCACCAAGGCUACGAUCAGUAGCUGGUCUGCGAGGAUGACCAGCCACAUUGGGACUGAGACACGGCCCAAACUCCUACGGGAGGCAGCAGUGGGGAAUCUUGCGCAAUGGGCGAAAGCCUGACGCAGCCAUGCCGCGUGGAUGAUGAAGGUCUUAGGAUUGUAAAAUCCUUUCACCGGUGAAGAUAAUGACUGUAGCCGGAGAAGAAGCCCCGGCUAACUUCGUGCCAGCAGCCGCCGUAAAAC
rnacentral:rRNA from 1 species